GACAGAGGGUGCAAACGUUGCUCGGAAUUACUGGGCGUAAAGCGCGUGUAGGCGGUCUCGCGAGUCGGGUGUGAAAGCCCGGGGCUCAACCCCGGACGGGCACUCGAUACUACGAGGCUGGAGUACUGUAGAGGAGAGCGGAAUUCCCGGUGUAGAGGUGAAAUUCGUAGAUAUCGGGAGGGACACCAGUGGCGAAGGCGGCUCUCUGGACAGUGACUGACGCUGAGACGCGAAAGCGUGGGUAGCAAACAGG
rnacentral:rRNA from 1 species